AUCUCCCUUACAAGGUAAAGUUUCUUAUUCUUCAGAAGUGGAUGUACUAGACUCAGUAUAAGAAGAAUCCUUACUAUCACUCUCAUGUUUAAGGAUAUACAUUAACCUUUUAUUUCCACACUUAGAAACAUAAUGCCCUUUUUCUCCACACUUAUAGCACUUGGUCUCCUUAAUCUUAUUUUCCUUGGGAGGUUCUCUAGAAUAAUAUUUUCUUUUUCUUUUUC
rnacentral:lncRNA from 1 species